GUACUUAGUAUGCUGGAAACAUCAGUUCUCGUCCGAUCACCGAAGUUAAGUAUCAUGGGACAUGGUUAGUACUUGGGAGGGUGUUCACCUGGGAAAACCGCGUG